rnacentral:rRNA from 1 species
UAGUAUAGCAUUAUACAGCGAAACUGCGAAUGGCUCAUUAUAUAAGUUAUCGUUUAUUUGAUAGUGCCUUACUACUUGGAUAACCGUGGUAAUUCUAGAGCUAAUACAUGCUAAAAAUCCCGACUUCGGAAGGGAUGUAUUUAUUAGAUUAAAAACCAAUGCCCUCUGGGCUUUUUGGUGAUUCAUGAUAACUUCACGAAUCGCACGGCCUUGCGCCGGCGAUGGCUCAUUCAAAUUUCUUCCCUAUCAACUUUCGAUGUUUGGGUAGUGGCCAAACAUGGUUGCAACGGGUAACGGAGGGUUAGGGCUCGACCCCGGAGAAGGAGCCUGAGAAACGGCUACUACAUCCAAGGAAGGCAGCAGGCGCGCAAAUUACCCAAUCCCGAUUCGGGGAGGUAGUGACAAUAAAUACUGAUACAGGGCUCUUUCGGGUCUUGUAAUCGGAAUGAGUACAAUUUAAAUCCCUUAACGAGGAACAAUUGGAGGGCAAGUCUGGUGCCAGCAGCCGCGGUAAUUCCAGCUCCAAUAGCGUAUAUUAAAGUUGUUGUGGUUAAAAGCUCGUAGUUGAACUUUGGGCUGGCUGGCCGGUCCGCCUCACCGCGAGUACUGGUCCGGCCGGGUCUUUCCCUCUGUGGAACCCCAUGCCCUUCACUGGGUGUGGCGGGGAAACAGGACUUUUACUUUGAAAAAAUUAGAGUGCUCCAGGCAGGCCUAUGCUCGAAUAUAUUAGCAUGGAAUAAUAGAAUAGGACGUGUGGUUCUAUUUUGUUGGUUUCUAGGACCGCCGUAAUGAUUAAUAGGGACAGUCGGGGGCAUCAGUAUUCAAUUGUCAGAGGUGAAAUUCUUGGAUUUAUUGAAGACUAACUACUGCGAAAGCAUUUGCCAAGGAUGUUUUCAUUAAUCAGGAACGAAAGUUAGGGGAUCGAAAACGAUCAGAUACCGUUGUAGUCUUAACCAUAAACUAUGCCGACUCGGGAUCGGACGAUGUUAUUUUUUGACUCGUUCGGCACCGUACGAUAAAUCAAAGUGCUUGGGCUCCAGGGGGAGUAUGGUCGCAAGGCUGAAACUUAAAGAAAUUGACGGAAGGGCACCACCAGGGGUGGAGCCUGCGGCUUAAUUUGACUCAACACGGGGAAACUCACCAGGUCCAGACACAAUGAGGAUUGACAGAUUGAGAGCUCUUUCUUGAUUUUGUGGGUGGUGGUGCAUGGCCGUUCUUAGUUCGUGGGGUGACCUGUCUGCCUGAUCGCGAUAACGAACGAGACCUUAUCCUGCUAAAUAGCCCGUAUUGCUUUGGCAGUACGCUGGCUUCUUAGAGGGACUAUCGGUGUAAGCCGAUGGAAGUUUGAGGCAAUAACAGGUCUGUGAUGCCCUUAGAUGUUCUGGGCUGCACGCGCGUUACACUGGCGGAGCCAGCGAGUACUCCCUUGGCCGAAAGGUCCGGGUAAUCUUGUUAAACUCCGCCGUGCUGGGGAUAGAGCAUUGCAAUUAUUGCUCUUCAACGAGGAAUCCCUAGUAAGCGCAAGUCAUCAGCUUGCGUUGAUUACGUCCCUGCCCUUUGUACACACCGCCCGUCGCUACUACCGAUUGAAUGGCUUAGUGAGGCGUUCGGACUGGCCCAGAGAGGUGGGCAACUACCACUCAGGGCCGGAAAGUUCUCCAAACUUGGUCAUUAGAGAAGU